rnacentral:rRNA from 1 species
GCGGUAAUUCCAGCUCUGUAAGCGUAUACCAAAGUUGUUGCAGUUAAAACGCUCGUAGUCGGAUUUUGGCGUGGUACUUCUGAGACCCCUGAUUGGGUGUUGAAGGCAGUCCCGCCUUUGUGGAUGGGGGCGUGGUGGUGAUUUACUUCAUUGCUGCGUUUUCGCCACUGUUUACUGUGAAAAAAUUAGAGUGUUCAAAGCGAGCGAUUGCCAUGAAUAUAUUAGCAUGGAAUAAUAGAAUAGGACCUGAUCCUGUUUUGUUGGUUUGUCAGUAUUGGGUAAUGAUUAAGAGGGACGGUCGGGGGCAUUUGUAUUCCAGGGUUAGAGGUGAAAUUCUCGGAUU